UAAGUCAGUAACAAGGUCUCCGUUGGUGAACCAGCGGAGGGAUCAUUA
rnacentral:rRNA from 1 species